ACCGGGUGUUCCGAUGCUUUGUGAUGACCGUCUGCCCCACAGAGAUGCCCUUCUCCCCAGCCUUGGACUUCUAACAGAAGAGGUACACAAAGAUGAGAGAAAAGAAACAGGAGAAAGGGAAAAGGAGAAAUAGCCAUAGGAACAAUGGAAGAAGAACCAGCCAACAGCUUUCUACCACCCCUCAUGACAGCAGAAGCACAGAAUUUGCCUGGCCAUCGCACCAGUGUUAAAAUCUUCCCAUUGUUAAUCAAGAAAAUGAACAUCCAUCUAUCAACCUAUCUAGUUUUACUUAAGUGCAUCUCUGUGCCAAGCACUGUGCUUGAAAAAGAUAUGUGGGGUUCCUGUGGAGGCGGAAGGGAUGGGAAAAAACUGAGAGGUUCUGUAGCAGGAACCCUUUCUUUUCCCCCCAUGUUCUCUCAAAUAUCACCUGAAGGUAAUCUCUGUGGUCCCUAUAGCCUUGGCAAAAAUUACUUCUCAGUAUCUAGUAAGGACACCAGUCUUUACUCCAAACACAUGAUAAAGAUAUAUAAUAACAGAUUUGAAGGUACAAUUAAAAGGUGUUGAAUAUAAGGGUUGGAAAUUUUGUAUUUUCUUCUUAUUCCUGAAAAAUAUAUGAGGAAACUUAACCAAAAGGCUUAACUAGUACUCCAGGGUGUCAAACAAAACCAAAAGUAAAUGAUUAAGGUAUCUGAUGCCCACAGAAAAGAGCAUUUCAAUUCCAAUUGCUUCCUGCCACAAGCAAAAGCUUCUAAGUGCCAAGUUAUCUCAGUAAUGGCUCAAAGAAAAAUGAAAAGAAUGCUUUAUUUAAAAAUGUAGAAACAGUAAUUUCUUAAGUUUCUUCAGAUACUACACUCUGUAAUUUCACUGACCCACUACACACAGUGUGGGAUAAACAGAAUGCAUGGUAUCUCACACACACACACACACACACACACACACACACACACACACACA